rnacentral:rRNA from 1 species
CCCUCGGGAAACUGAGGUUAAUAUCUGAUAGGAGAUUUAUACUGGAAAGAUUAAUCUUUAAAAUUCGAGCCUAAGGAUGGGGCUGCGGUGGAUUAGGUUGUUGGCGGGGUAAUAGCCCACCAAGCCUUUGAUCCAUAGGGGCUCUUAGCGGAGAAGCCCCGAGAGGGAAUCUGAGACACUAUUCCCAGCCCUACGGGGUGCAGCAGUUAGGAAUAUUCUGCAAUGCGCGUAAGCGUGACAGAUUGGGUCAGAGUGCGCUUCAAUUUGGAGUGCUUUUGCUAAAUGUAAAAAGUUUGGCGAAUAAGGACUGGGUAAGACGAGUGCCAGCCGCCGCGGUAAUACUCGCGGUCCAAGUCGCAGCCAUUUUUAUUGGGUCUAAAACAUCCGUAGCUUGCUUGGUGAGUUCCUUGUGAAAUUCUAUAUCUCAAAUAUGGAGCGUGCAGGGAGUACUGCCAAGCUAGAGACUGGAAGACGUAACGAGUACGUUUGGAGUAGCGGUAAAAUGUGUUAAUCCCGGACGGACUAACAAUAGCGAAGGCACGUUACGAGGACAGUUCUGACAGUAAGGGAUGAAGGCUAGGGGCGCAAAACGGAUUAGAUACCCGUGUAGUCCUAGCAGUAAACACUGCACACUAAACAUUAGUACCUCCUCGAGAGGUAUUGGUGCUGAAGGGAAGCCGAAGAGUGUGCUACCUGGGAAGUAUAGUCGCAGGGCCGAAACUUAAAGGAAU